rnacentral:rRNA from 1 species
UACGUAGGUGGCAAGCGUUGUCCGGAUUUAUUGGGUUUAAAGGGUGCGUAGGCGGCUUCGUAAGUCAGUGGUGAAAUAUGGCAGCUCAACUGUCAGGGUGCCAUUGAUACUGCAGAGCUUGAGUACAGAUGAGGUAGGCGGAAUUGACGGUGUAGCGGUGAAAUGCUUAGAUAUCGUCAAGAACACCGAUAGCGAAGGCAGCUUACUGGGCUGUAACUGACGCUGAGGCACGAAAGUGUGGGGAUCAAACAGG